UCCGUUUGAUCCCGGCAGAGGCCACUGCUAUCGGAGUUCGAUUAAGCCAUGCGAGUCGAGAGGUGUAAGACCUCGGCAUACUGCUCAGUAACACGUGGACAACCUACCCUGAAGAGGGGGAUAACCCCGGGAAACUGGGGAUAAUACCCCAUAGACUAUGGAUGCUGGAAUGCUUUGUAGUUGAAAGGUCCGCCGCUUCAGGAUGGGUCUGCGGCCGAUUAGGUUGUUGUUGGGGUAACGGCCCAACAAGCCUGUAAUCGGUACGGGUUGUGGGAGCAAGAGCCCGGAGAUGGAUUCUGAGACACGAAUCCAGGCCCUACGGGGCGCAGCAGGCGCGAAAACUUUACAAUGCGAGCAAUCGUGAUAAGGGAACUCCGAGUGCCUGUAAAAUCAGGCUGUCCGCCAGUGUAAAUAACUGGUGAAGAAAGGGCCGGGCAAGACCGGUACCAGCCGCCGCGGUAAUACCGGCGGCUCGAGUGGUGGCCACUAUUACUGAGCUUAAAGCGUUCGUAGCUGGUCUGUUAAGUCUCUGGGGAAAUCUUCCGGCUUAACCGGAAGGCGUCUCAGGGAUACUGGCAGACUAGGGACCGGAAGAGGUGAGAGGUACUCCAGGGGUAGGAGUGAAAUCCUGUAAUCCUUGGGGGACCACCUGUGGCGAAGGCGUCUCACCAGGACGGCUCCGACAGUGAGGAACGAAAGCUGGGGGAGCAAACCGGAUUAGAUACCCGGGUAGUCCCAGCUGUAAACGAUGCGCGUUAGGUGUAUCGGUGACCACGAGUCACCGAGGUGCCGAAGAGAAAUCGUGAAACGCGCCGCCUGGGAAGUACGGUCGCAAGGCUGAAACUUAAAGGAAUUGGCGGGGGAGCACCACAACGGGUGGAGCCUGCGGUUUAAUCGGACUCAACGCCGGGAAACUCACCGGACAAGACAGCUGAAUGAUAGUCGGGCUGAAGACUCUACUUGACUAGCUGAGAGGAGAUGCAUGGCCGUCGUCAGUUCGUACUGUGAAGCAUCCUGUUAAGUCAGGCAACGAGCGAGACCCA
rnacentral:rRNA from 1 species